rnacentral:misc_RNA from 1 species
CAGCCCCUCAAGCCCGGCUUGUGUGAUGGACGACCGUCCGGCGCCCCCGUCUCUGGGGGUGCGGGACGCGCCCGAAAAGCAGUGGCCAGGCCGCGAUUCCGGCUUUCUAGGCGAAUGGGCAACAAACCAGCGCCUCCAGGACCGGCCGCCCUGGCCUCAAAAUCUGUUUUAUACUUAUCAGG